AGGCUGGGCACAGGCAUGGGCGCAGCCAUGGGGGGGUCACUUGUGCAGCCCCAGGCAGGCUGGGGCAUCCCUGAGCCCAUUACGGGGCAGGGGGGCAGGGUAGGGUGGGUGGCACCCAGUCGUGGGCUGGGGAGGAAGGGAUGGCAAAGCCAAACGAGCCGGGCACUCGGAUGAUGCUCCUGGGGCGGUCAGAGCAGAGAAACGGGGGGGCCCAUGGACGGUGGGAGGUGGCUGGGAGGGCUGCGGGGGCACCCGGCUGACGUGGUCUGCAGGAAGCCCUGCAGAGGAGGAGGAGGACGAUGGCCAUGACAGCGUCAGUGACUAGAAAAACUUCCCCGGGCUCAGGAAAUCUUGUGGGAUGCGAAUAGCUGGGUGCUGGCAGGUAACGUAAAUGCCCGGCUGCAGAGGCACCGAGCAGCUGCCUCCCACGUCUGAGUGCCUCCAGAGGGCUGCAGGGUGCCACGGCCCCCACCAGCCCCACACAGAGAAACGAUUUUCUGCAGGUCCCUGGGAGCACUGACCAUAUGAAAUGGCCUUAUGCCCAGUAUCACCAUCGUGGCUUCAUGAAACUCUGGUACCACGUGCUGAGGCUUCCACAGUACAUGUGCCUAAGAAAAGACCGAUCAGGCAGGGUUGCCCUGUGGGCAUCUCCCAGUUCCUCCGCAGUUAGGAACCUUCAUUUCAUCACCUCCAAAUAAGAAGGACAACAAUGUCCAAAGCUGCUCUCUGGGGACCCUCCCCAGGCAUCCCACCUCCCGCAGCAGCACCAACAGCAGGCUGCAGCUCCCGGGCGCUGCUGAGCCGCGUGCGCGGUCCUGCACUGCAAGGCUCCGGGGCGAGCAGCAACUUUGUCAUCUCUUCGGCAGAGCCAUUGCACCCUGGGGAGCUCCUGGAGGUCCAUGCGGAGAUUCUGGUGUUUCCGUGAGGCCUGUGGGGCCGAGGCAGCAGGUUCGGUCUUUGUUUAUAAAUACGUACGGACAUGUAUGCACACAUGCGUCUGUUUCAAUGUUUUCCCUUUCUUUCCUGGAGAAGGGACAAGAGAAAAAGAGAACAAAAUUCAUUACUUUCUUCUUUUCUCCUUAUAUUUAUGCACUGGAAGAGCACUGACAAUGAACCCUACCACAGCUGGAUGAAAAGCAUUAAAGGAUGAACCUAAGCACCCACUCUCAUCCUGCAACCCACAGAAACCCACGGGUCUGCUUAAGGAACAGGCACCUUGGCAAGCCUGCGGGGAGCCUCUUAGCCUGAAACUGUUGGCUUCAGAUCUGGGUCAGAGCACGGAUCGAUAUGCGGUGUGGAUCUCAGCACUGCCCUUCCGUCGGCGUUUGACUCCCAGAUUUGCUCCAUCAUUUCCCCAAUUGAUAACACCACAGGCUCUUUCCGAGCACCGUGUCAGCCGGCUGUGCCUUUUCCCCCACACGAUCAGCCUCAGCUUCCCGAGCCGCAGGACACGCGGACUCGAGCACCAGGAGGAGCAUUGCAGGGGCUCGGCCGGGCCACCCGGAUGCUGGAUCUCGCCCACUGACCCCUCGUGGGACCACGGAGGUUCUUUUGCCCGCAGCGCAACAUUUGGCUCAGAUGAAUUGCGCAGAGGUUUGCUGAGACCUACAGGCACCUGCGAGCAGAGGACCGACGUCCACCCCGCUGCCAAAACGUGCGCUCUGCUUGUGCACCCCGCGGCCGGGCUGCAUCUUCAUUGCGCUGAGGACAGCGGGGGCGAGCCAGCGUCCCCUUGUCCCCACCGCCCCGCCACCGGCCCGGCAGCUGCCCGCGCUCCCUGCCCACCCUGCCUGCUGCUGCGUGCCCGCAGGACCAGAGCCAUUCCCCCUGGAAACGACCUCGGCACGCCAGCCAGCGAGCACGGAUGGCCAAGUGAAUGUAAGCUGAUGCUAAUAAAUCUCCUGUGGAUACAUCCCUACAUUGAGGUUUGUUGUUUGCAUAAACGGCAUAAUUAACCGCAUGUAUCUGUGCCCCCCUGCUGCCAA